ensembl:lncRNA
GUUGAGUGUGGUUACAGUGUUCCAGGUGAUUGCUAGAGUGUUGCUAAAGUAAUCUGGGUGGUUGCCAGGGUGUUGCCAAGUAGUCGCUAUGGUAUUAUAGUUACUAGGAUGUGGUUGAGUGUGGUUACAGUGUUCCAGGCGAUUGCUAGAGUGUUGCUAAAGUAAUCUGGGUGGUUGCCAGGGUGUUGCCAAUUAGUCGCUAUGGUAUUAUAGCUGCUAGGAUGUGGUUGAGUGUGGUUACGGUGUUCCAGGCGAUUGCUAGAGUGUUGCUAAAGUAAUCUGGGUGGUUGCCAGGGUGUUGCCAAUUAGUCGCUAUGGUAUUAUAGUUGCUAGGAUGUGGUUGAGUGUGGUUACGGUGUUCCAGGUGAUUGCUAGAGUGUUGCUAAAGUAAUCUGGGUGGUUGCCAGGGCGUUGCCAAGUAGUCGCUAUGGUAUUAUAGUUACUAGGAUGUGGUUGAGUGUGGUUACAGUGUUCCAGGCGAUUGCUAGAGUGUUGCUAAAGUAAUCUGGG